rnacentral:rRNA from 1 species
AGAUGCAGUGUACCCGCGGCAAGACGGAAAGACCCCGUGAACCUUUACUAUAGCUUGACACUGAACAUUGAGCCUUGAUGUGUAGGAUAGGUGGGAGGCUUUGAAGUGUGGACGCCAGUCUGCAUGGAGCCGGCCUUGAAAUACCACCCUUUAAUGUUUGAUGUUCUAACGUGGACCCGUGAUCCGGGUUGCGGACAGUGUCUGGUGGGUAGUUUGACUGGGGCGGUCUCCUCCUAAAGAGUAACGGAGGAGCACGAAGGUUGGCUAAUCCUGGUCGGACAUCAGGAGGUUAGUGCAAUGGCAUAAGCCAGCUUGACUGCGAGCGUGACGGCGCGAGCAGGUGCGAAAGCAGGUCAUAGUGAUCCGGUGGUUCUGAAUGGAAGGGCCAUCGCUCAACGGAUAAAAGGUACUCCGGGGAUAACAGGCUGAUACCGCCCAAGAGUUCAUAUCGACGGCGGUGUUUGGCACCUCGAUGUCGGCUCAUCACAUCCUGGGGCUGAAGUAGGUCCCAAGGGUAUGGCUGUUCGCCAUUUAAAGUGGUACGCGAGCUGGGUUUAGAACGUCGUGAGACAGUUCGGUCCCUAUCUGCCGUGGGCGCUGGAGAACUGAGGGGGGCUGCUCCUAGUACGAGAGGACCGGAGUGGACGCAUCACUGGUGUUCGGGUUGUCAUGCCAAUGGCACUGCCCGGUAGCUAAAUGCGGAAGAGAUAAGUGCUGAAAGCAUCUAAGCACGAAACUUGCCCCGA